rnacentral:rRNA from 1 species
UAAGGAAUAUUGGUCAAUGGACGCAAGUCUGAACCAGCCAUGCCGCGUGAAGGAUGAAGGUCCUCUGGAUUGUAAACUUCUUUUAUCUGGGACGAAAACGGGAUUUUUAUCUCAAUUGACGGUACCAGAGGAAUAAGCACCGGCUAACUCCGUGCCAGCAGCCUCGGUAAUACGGAGGGUGCGAGCGUUAUCCGGAUUUACUGGGUUUAAAGGGUGCGUAGGUGGGCUUAUAAGUCAGUGGUGAAAUCUCCGAGCUUAACUUGGAAACGGCCGUUGAUACUAUAGCUCUUGAAUUAUCUGGAGGUAAGCGGAAUAUGUCAUGUAGCGGUGAAAUGCUUAGAUAUGACAUAGAACACCAAUUGCGAAGGCAGCUUACUACAUAUAAAUUGACGCUGAGGCACGAAAGCGUGGGGAUCAAACA